AAGUCGUAACAAGGUAUCUGUAGGUGAACCUGCAGAUGGAUCAUUACAAAGGUAUCCAACCUUACUAGUACUGUGAACUGUUAUCUUGGAAGCGGAGAGGAGUUAGUGCAGGCUUUACAGCCGGCUGCUCCGCUCUGACCACUAAACGAAAAAUUAAAACUCACUACUAAUCAAACAAAAAUUAAAAUACAACUUUUAGCAACGGAUCUCUUGGUUCUC
rnacentral:misc_RNA from 1 species